UGAGGAAUCUUGCGCAAUGGGCGAAAGCCUGACGCAGCGACGCCGCGUGGAGGAUGAAGGUCUUCGGAUUGUAAACUUCUGUUAAGUGGGAAGAAAUGUUCCGGCCUAAUACGUCGGGAAGAUGACGGUACCACUAGAGAAAGCACCGGCUAACUUCGUGCCAGCAGCCGCGGUAAUACGAAGGGUGCAAGCGUUAUUCGGAUUGAUUGGGUGUAAAGGGUGUGUAGGUGGUAUGUUAAGUCAACUGUUAAAUUUCCUGGCCUAACCAGGAGUCGGCAGUAGAUACUGGCGUGCUAGAGGGUGGAAGAGAGAAGUGGAAUUCUCGGAGUAGCGGUAAAAUGCGUAGAUCUCGAGAAGAACACCGAUGGCGAAGGCAGCUUCUUGGUCCAUUCCUGACACU
rnacentral:rRNA from 1 species